CAGUCGCCGCGGGAAUACGUAGGUGGCAAGCGUUGUCUGGAAUUAUUGGGCGUAAAGGGCUCGCAGGCGGUUUCUUAAGUCUGAUGUGAAAGCCCCCGGCUCAACCGGGGAGGGUCAUUGGAAACUGGGAAACUUGAGUGCAGAAGAGGAGAGUGGAAUUCCACGUGUAGCGGUGAAAUGCGUAGAGAUGUGGAGGAACACCAGUGGCGAAGGCGACUCUCUGGUCUGUAACUGACGCUGAGGAGCGAAAGCGUGGGGAGCGAACAGGAUUAGAUACCCCCGUAGUCCCUGUCUCUUAUAC
rnacentral:rRNA from 1 species